rfam:Stomoxys calcitrans breed 8C7A2A5H3J4 unplaced genomic scaffold Scaffold23, whole genome shotgun sequence.
UGAAUGUGAUGAUUAAAACUUACACCAUCUUUCGACUGUACUAAAAUCAUUGAUGACAUAUAAGUUUACCUGAUAUUUCA